rnacentral:tRNA from 1 species
AUUAAGGUGGCAGAGCAGGUAAUUGCAUAAAACUUAAACCUUUAUAACCAGAGGUUCAACUCCUCUCCUUAAUA